rnacentral:rRNA from 1 species
AACGAACGUUGGCGGCGUGGAUUAGGCACGCAAGUCGAACGCGAAUCCCUGGGCAACUGGGGAGGAGAGUGGCGAAAGGGGCAGUAAGGCGUGGGUAACCUACCCUCCGGGCCGGGAUAGCUUCGGGAAACUGAAGGUAAUACCGGGCGACGCAGCGAGAUCGCAUGGUCUUGCUGCCAAAGGUCCGCCGCCGGGGGAGGGGCUCACGUGGUAUUAGCUAGACGGCGGGGUAACGGCCCACCGUGGCAAAGAUGCCUAGCAGGUGUGAGAGCACGACCUGCGCCACUGGAACUGAGACACUGGCCAGACACCUACGGGUGGCUGCAGUCGAGGAUCUUCGGCAAUGGGCGCAAGCCUGACCGAGCGACGCCGCGUGUGCGAUGAAGGCCUUCGGGUUGUAAAGCACUGUCGAGGGGGAGGAAGCCGCAAGGUUGACCUAUCCCUGGAGGAAGCACGGGCUAAGUUCGUG